rnacentral:rRNA from 1 species
AUUGAACGCUGUCGGCAUGCUUUACACAUGCAAGUCGAACGGUAGCAGGUCUUCGGACGCUGACGAGUGGCGAACGGGUGAGUAAUACAUCGGAACGUGCACAGUCGUUGGGGAUAACUACUCGAAAUAGUGGCUAAUACCGCAUACGAUCUGAGGAUGAAAGCGGGGGACCUUAGGGCAUAGCGAGAUUCGAGUGGCCGAUGGACGAUUAGGUAGUUGGUGGGGUAAAAGCUUACCAAGCCAACGAUCCGUAGCUGGACUGUGAGGACGACCAGCCACACUGGGAGUGAGACACGGCCCAGGCCACUACGGGAGGCAGCAGUGGGGAGUUUUGGACAAGGGGCGAAAGCCUGAUCCAGCAAAGCCGCGUGCAGGAUGGAGGCCUGCGGGUUGUAAACUGCUUUUGUACGGAACGAAAAAGCUUCCCCUACUACGGGAGGCCCAUGACGGUACCGUAAGAAUAAGCACCGGCUAACUACGUGCCAGCCGCCGCCGUAAAAC